CACAUUUCUUCAACAACCAGUCCGUUGCCACCACACCCCAACCAGCGGCAACUCCAAAAAAUAGCCCCCAUAACCGUUACCCCUUCUUCUUCAGAAAAUCGAACACCAAAAACGACCACUGGACAGAAGCCAGUGGAUACUGACCCCCUUUUUCAUUUCUGCUCAAACGCAUACAGCAGCAGCCACACCUCGUAAAUAGCUCUCAAACUAUUCAAGUACGAGCAGCUAUUUGGUCGUGGUUCGAGUCGCUGAAGUUGGGUUCGAUUGCCAUCGAGUUCGAGUUCGUCAGACUUUCCAUUCGUUAGCUUUAGUUAUGGUUCUCUAUUUUGGUUUGGGUUCGAUCUCCUUUACUGGGAUUUUGGGAAUGAAAACGUGGAUCUAGUUCUUUACUGUUGUCAUUCGAGUUCGGUCGCUAUUCGAGUUUCACUCAUAGCUGCGCUUUCCAUCUAUUGUAGCUGCUGUACUUUUUCGUUAAUCGAAAGUUUCUUCAAAAGCAAAAAUUACUGUUGUGGUUGCUUAUCAACGGUGACAUCAAAUUCAUGGUUGUUUCUCUUAGCCUUUAUGUGGCUUCUCAAGUUGGCUUUUGAAUACUAGUUAUGCAUUUACCACCGAGCUACGGUCAAUCGGGCAGUUACCACUGAUCAGUUGGGCAGUUAACGUUACAAAAAUGAGGUAACUAGAACUAUUGUAUUGUAACUUUAUUUAUAUAUACGAUAUGGAUUUUAUUCUAUAUGUUACGGCCCUCAGCGACAAGUCAGAAGUUAUAAGUUGACUCUUAUCUCUCCCCCGAGAUAAUAUCUUAUUAUUAUUACAUUUCAUUGCUGCCUUACAUACUCGGUACAUUCUUCGUACUAACGCCUUUUUUUUUCUGGGGCACUGUGCUUCAUGCCACGCAGGUGUAGAUAGGCAAGGUGAGGAUCAUCCAUUGUAGGCUGCCUCCAGAUAUCAGCUUUUGGUUGGUGAGCUCCACAUCUUCCUAGAGUAUUGUCAAGUCACGUUCUAUAUAUGUUACUUUGUUUUAUAAGGAUGUUAGGGACCCUGUCCCAACUUAUAUGUUAUGGUCAUGUUUUCUUAGAGGUUUUGCAGACAGUGUCCUGUGUAUAGCUUUAGCUAUGACAUGUCAACGGCCUUGUCAGCCCCUAUGUAUCUAUAUAAAUCUUUUUGAAUUAGUUAUAUGAGUUAAGUUCUAAUA